rnacentral:rRNA from 1 species
AUGCCAGCUUGCUGGUGGAUUAGUGGCGAACGGGUGAGUAACACGUGAGUAACCUGCCCUUGACUCUGGGAUAAGCCUGGGAAACUGGGUCUAAUACCGGAUAUGACUGACUAUCGCAUGGUGGUUGGUGGAAAGCUUUUGUGGUUUUGGAUGGACUCGCGGCCUAUCAGCUUGUUGGUGGGGUAAUGGCCUACCAAGGCGACGACGGGUAGCCGGCCUGAGAGGGUGACCGGCCACACUGGGACUGAGACACGGCCCAGACUCCUACGGGAGGCAGCAGUGGGGAAUAUUGCACAAUGGGCGCAAGCCUGAUGCAGCGACGCCGCGUGAGGGAUGACGGCCUUCGGGUUGUAAACCUCUUUCAGUAGGGAAGAAGCCGCAAGGUGACGGUACCUGCAGAAGAAGCGCCGGCUAACUACGUGCCAGCAGCCGCGGUAAUACGUAGGGCGCAAGCGUUAUCCGGAAUUAUUGGGCGUAAAGAGCUCGUAGGCGGUUUGUCGCGUCUGCCGUGAAAGUCCGGGGCUCAACUCCGGAUCUGCGGUGGGUACGGGCAGACUAGAGUGAUGUAGGGGAGACUGGAAUUCCUGGUGUAGCGGUGAAAUGCGCAGAUAUCAGGAGGAACACCGAUGGCGAAGGCAGGUCUCUGGGCAUUAACUGACGCUGAGGAGCGAAAGCAUGGGGAGCGAACAGGAUUAGAUACCCUGGUAGUCCAUGCCGUAAACGUUGGGCAMUAGGUGUGGGGGACAUUCCACGUUUUCCGCGCCGUAGCUAACGC